CCUACGGGAGGCUGCAGUGGGGAAUAUUGGGCAAUGGGCGCAAGCCUGACCCAGCAACGCCGCGUGAAGGAAGAAGGCUUUAGGGUUGUAAACUUCUUUUAAGAGGGAAGAGCAGAGGACGGUACCUCUUGAAUAAGCAACGGCUAACUACGGGCCAGCAGCCACGGCAAUACGUAGGUGGCAAGCGUUGUCCGGAUUUACUGGGUGUAAAGGGCGUGCAGCCGGGAAGACAAGUCAGAUGUGAAAUCCCGCGGCUCAACCCCGGAACUGCAUUUGAAACUGUUUGUCUUGAGUACCGGAGAGGUCAGCGGAAUUCCUUGUGUAGCGGUGAAAUGCGUAGAUAUAAGGAAGAACACCAGUGGCGAAGGCGGCUUACUGGACGGCAACUGACGGUGAGGCGCGAAAGCGUGGGGAGCAAACAGGAUUAGAUACCCGGGUAGUC
rnacentral:rRNA from 1 species